UAACGACUCUCGGCAACGGAUAUCUCGGCUCUCGCAUCGAUGAAGAACGUAGCGAAAUGCGAUACUUGGUGUGAAUUGCAGAAUCCCGUGAACCAUCGAGUCUUUGAACGCAAGUUGCGCCCUAAGCCGAUAGGCUGAGGGCACGUCUGCCUGGGUGUCACG
rnacentral:rRNA from 1 species